UUUGUUGUAAAGGUAAGGGUGGGAGAGGGAUGGAUAGGUUUGUUGUAGAGGUAAGGGUGGGAGAGGGAUGGAUAGGUUUGUUGUAGAGGUAAGGGUGGGACAGGAAGGGGCUGGGGAGAAGGUGGGAGGAAUGGAAGGAGUGAUCCAGGUGAAAGUGUUGGGAGACCUUUUCUCUCCUUCCUUGAGGAGAAUAUUUGGGAUUGAAAGGUGGCUAGAUGAAGGCAAAGUUUCUGUUUAAUUGCACUCACCUGCCCAGUCAGAUCAGUGAUUACUUUCAGGCAGUCAGGAUGCAUUUUGGGGACUCCAAGGAGAAAUUGGCUUUGCAGCGGGCGGCAGUCAUCCAUAAAAACAAAAUGGUCAUUUCAACAAAUAAAAAAGAUAUGACAAGAGAGGGAGCAAGAGGACCAGGUGGAGGGCCAGGAGGACCAGGUGGAGGGCCAGGAGGACCAGGUGGAGGGCCAGGAGGACCAGGUGGAGGGCCAGGAGGACCAGGUGGAGGGCCAGGAGGACCCGGUGGAGGGCCAGGAGGACCAGGUGGAGGGCCAGGAGGACCAGGUGGAGGGCCAGGAGGACCAGGUGGAGGGCCAGGAGGACCAGGUGGAGGGCCAGGAGGACCAGGUGGAGGGCCAGGAGGACCCGGUGGAGGGCCAGUGGAAAGGGACCAGGUAGAGGGCCAGGAGGACCAGGUGGAGGGCCAGUGGAAAGGGGCCAGGUGGACCAGGUAGAGGGCCAGGAGGACCAGGUGGAGGGCCAGUGGAAAUGGGGCAGGAGGACCAGGUGGAGGGCCAGUGGAAAUGGGGCAGGAGGACCAGGUAGAGGGCCAGUGGAAAUGGGGCAGGAGGACCAGGUAGAGGGCCAGUGGAAAUGGGGCAGGAGGACCAGGUAGAGGGCCAGUGGAAAUGGGACAGGAGGACAAGGUAGAGGGCCAGUGGAAAUUGGGCAGGAGGACAAGCUAGAGGGCCAGUGGAAAUGGGGCAGGAGGACAAGGUAGAGGGCCAGUGGAAAUGGGGCAGGAGGACAAGGUAGAGGGCCAGUGGAAAUGGGGCAGACAGCACAAACUGUCGUUCUGUUACCAAACUUUGCAUCUGCACUGUUCUUCGAGUAAUUGUCUUUUUGUCAAAUGUUCUGUGGAAAUUGUUAAAAGUAGUCCUUGUGCAGACCUGUAUCAUUAGUUUAACUUUGCUAUCAUUGUUUUUGUUUGACAUACAUUUUAUACAUCGGUCUCGAUGUUACUGUGGAGUUGUCCUUCUAUAAACACCUCUGAUGCUGUCAGCAUCAUUUUACAAAUACACCUGAUGCUGUCAGCAUCAGUCUUUAACCACCUCUGAUGCUGUCAGCAUCAUUGCCUAUUGCUUUAUUUAUCCGUUUUUCAUUUAGGUCCCUCUUUUUCUGUAAUUCAUAUUUUUCGCACUCAAUCAAGUAUCUGAUGAAAACUGGGAUAGUUAUUUUCCCCCACGUCUAAUAAAAGUAAUUGUGCUUUAUA